rnacentral:rRNA from 1 species
GACGAACGCUGGCGGCGUGCUUAACACAUGCAAGUCGAACGGAAAGGCCCUGCUUUUGUGGGGUGCUCGAGUGGCGAACGGGUGAGUAACACGUGAGUAACCUGCCCUUGACUUUGGGAUAACUUCAGGAAACUGGGGCUAAUACCGGAUAGGAGCUCCUGCUGCAUGGUGGGGGUUGGAAAGUUUCGGCGGUUGGGGAUGGACUCGCGGCUUAUCAGCUUGUUGGUGGGGUAGUGGCUUACCAAGGCUUUGACGGGUAGCCGGCCUGAGAGGGUGACCGGCGACAUGGGGACUGAGAUAGGGACCAGACGGCUACGGGAGGCAGCAGGGGGGAAUAUUGCCCAAUGGGAGGAAGCCUGAUGAAGAAACGCCGCGUGCGGGAUGACGGCUUUUGGGUUGUAAACCGCUUUAGCCUGUGACGAAGCGUGAGUGACGGUAAUGGGUAAAGAAGCACCGGCUAACUACGUG